CGCCUGAAGGAAGCUGGAAAGACGGAGCAAUCUGUCACUUGAGGAUGGGCCUGCGGCGCAUUAGCUAGUUGGUGAGGUAACGGCUCACCAAGGCGACGAUGCGUAGCCGACCUGAGAGGGUGAUCGGCCACACUGGGACUGAGACACGGCCCAGACUCCUACGGGAGGCAGCAGUAGGGAAUCUUCCGCAAUGGGCGAAAGCCUGACGGAGCAAUGCCGCGUGAGUGAUGAAGGUUUUCGGAUCGUAAAGCUCUGUUGCCAGGGAAGAACGUCCUUGAGAGUAACUGCUCAAGGAGUGACGGUACCUGAGAAGAAAGCCCCGGCUAACUACGUGCCAGCAGCCGCGGUAAUACGUAGGGGGCAAGCGUUGUCCGGAAUUAUUGGGCGUAAAGCGCGCGCAGGCGGUCAUUUAAGUCUGGUGUUUAAUCCCGGGGCUCAACCCCGGAUCGCACUGGAAACUGGAUGACUUGAGUGCAGAAGAGGAGAGUGGAAUUCCACGUGUAGCGGUGAAAUGCGUAGAGAUGUGGAGGAACACCAGUGGCGAAGGCGACUCUCUGGGCUGUAACUGACGCUGAGGCGCGAAAGCGUGGGGAGCAAAC
rnacentral:rRNA from 1 species